CCACCACUGCCCAGCAUCUGUCUUUUGUUCUUGACAGGGUCUCAUUGUGCGUCUGAAUCUGCUCUCAAAGACUCCUCCUGCUUCAGCCUCCUGGGGGCUGGGUUAUAGACCCAGCCAUGCACGGUCACACUUGCCCUAAGAAUCUCAGUGAUGCUUUCCAUGUGACAAUGCCUUAAGGUUAACAGUGUGCUCUCAGUUCAGCCUCCAGCUGCACAUACUCAUGUGCCAUUCCUGUGUCCUUAUGCAGCUGAAGACCUUGGAAGAAAGAAAUGACCAAGUGAAGGUCACAGAAACCAAGACUCAGACACAGCCUGAACUUGAAACUCAGAUUCUGAUGAAAUUAGAUCUCAUUUAUAGUCUGAAUCCUAGAAUACUUUCUCACUGUCACUGGCAAGUCUUUGCUGAAAUGCAUCGACUUUAAGGUACUCUGAGUAAUUCUACGAUUUUAUAAAAAACAAAAGAUGGCUAGGGGAGUUGGCUCAGAAGUUAAAGGGACUUCCAGAGGAGCAAGAGGACUGGAGUUCAGAUACCUAUAACCCACAUAAAUUCUGGGUGGCCGUGGCAGUAUCAGAAAAUAGACCCAGGGAAUCUGGAGCAACUGGGAUAGCUACACUAACUAAACUGCAAGCUCUUGGUUACAUUAAAAGACGCUGCCUCAGACAAUAAGAGGAGUGACUGAGGACAGUCUCUGAUAGCAACCUCGGGCCUCGGUACUCACAGGUACACAAAUUGUAUGCACAUGUGCUCAAACAAUGCACUUACCACAACAAACAAACAAACAAACAACAACCGCCCCAAAGAUGAGAAAGGUUUUUCCUUUCCUUUGUCUAGUGAAAUCUUUUUUAUUCUGUGAUACCCUGAAAACAGAAGGCAGGCCACCAUUGUGAUGAAUGAUGUUUGGAAGUGGAGUAUGGCUGUGGACUCUGGCACAGCUUGUCACUGUACCAUGAAGUGAGCAACACCAGCUGUGGUCUCUGAUCUCCUGAAAGCUGACAAUGAAGCCAGUGCUGACCCCUGACCCCAGGCAGAUAAUUACACUUUGAAUUAUCUACAUAAUAAAGGUCCCUCCCUGAAACAGGAUGGAAAGCAUGGUGUUCUGAAAGUAAGGAAUGUCAAAUGUGGCUAGACAAAAACCCAUCACAAUCAAUAUCAUCGGGCUACAAAAGGAGUCUACUUGUCUACAGUGUACAGAACAGGCUGAGAUCACACUUUUCUUGAAGCCUCAUGUGAUGGAAGGGGCAAAGGAACUCUCUAGGAGAUUUUCUUUGUAAGGUUACCAGGUAGUGCCCUCAACAGAGAUCAUUUCUACCCAGUGCCUCAUCUCCCAACAUCAGUACAUUUGGAAUUUGGACCCAACACGUGAAUUUUGGGUGAGUUGGCAAAACCCCUUUUUUAGUCUAUAGCAGGUGAUCAUUAAGGAUGGGAAAGCCUAGGGUGCUAUGAAGAUAUGUGUGGGGAGACCUUGAUCCUCUGAACUCCCACCCUAAAUAAUCAGCAUAAUGUCUAGGUAGGGAAGGAAGAGAUAUAGGGAAAGUUACAUCCCAGCUAACAUGAACAGCCCAUGCAGCACCCUGAAGCUGGAAGAUCAUGUGUGUUAGAAAAACUCAGAGCUAGCCAGAGAAGAAGUGGUGGGAGUAAGAAGCAAUGUGGUAUAAGGACAGAGCUGGAGGGAGGCACAGGGGGCAGGCAGCUUGCCAUAGGGUACCAAAAUCCUUGGUGGAAAGACCUCUCAACUCUGGAUUCUACUUUUAGAAAUUGAUCAGAAAGAAUUCAUCCCCAGAAUUACAUAAAAAUUGGCCUUUCAUAGCUCUUGAUGGUUUAUAAUUGAGUGUUUUAUGUUUAAGUCUUUCAUUUAUUUGGGAUUUAGGCAUGACUUGAAAUUCUAUAAGUUUGGCAUUGAAACGUAGCCUGCUGUCUCUUAGACAGCCUUUGAGGAAAUCAGGGACCAGGGAGUCAGAAGUUUCUAUUUCCCUCCUUAGAGGGAUGUGAAUGUCACUUCCCCUCUUUCUAUUUUGUUUCUUCGAAUUCUUUCUUUCCAUACUGCAAGACCCGCUAGUUCAGUUCUCUAGAAAUUCCCACGGGCUGAAGGCAAAGCAGAACUAGAUGGUGGGGAAAUCUGGGUAAUGCUUCUGUAUUCAUGAAGCUUACCCUACACAGUGACUCAAAUUGCCCAGAGAGAUCAUCCGUUUCUUCUAGACUUCUCCAUUUUUCUAGUCCAGACUCCAGUCAUCACAGAAUCCCCUUCUACUCUCCUGCACCCCCAGGCGACCUCGAGUCAGUCCUCACUUCCUUCUGCCUGUCCAUUCCUUCCAUCCCCUGGCCGCCACCAUCAGACUGAUCACCGAUUUCCUUCACCCACUCUUUCCUCACCAUACUCCUGGAGGAUGAGUCACUUCUGGUGCUCAUCUGUCAUGUUUGUCACUCUCAGAAUCUCUCAUGUUACAUUUAUAUCUUUGCUUAAUUCCUAGAAUUCCUCAUUGUUCACAAUUGAAAGUUCAAAUGCUAAAAACCCUACAGACACAGGAACCAUAGAGCCUCACAUAGGAGUUCAUCACCAAAACUAAAAAAGAUUGUUAUUGUCCUUGAUUAGCUGACUGGCUGGCUGGUGUUUUGAGAAAAGAUCUUGCUCCUAUAAUUCGCCUAUAAAAUUUGGUACUACUCAAUCUACAUUCAAUUUUUUUUUAAAUAAAGAUUUAAGAAAAUUGCUAGUAUGUACAUUUGGUAGUUAGUAUUAGUUGUCAACCAGACACAUCUAGGAUCACCUGGGAAGAGAGGUGAGAGACUGUCUCCAUCAGGCUGGCCUGGGGGUGACUGUCUUAAUUAAGUUAAUUGAUGUGGGAAGACCCAUCCCACUGGGGGUGGCACCAUUCCCUAGCCAGGGGAUUCUGAAUCUUGUAAGAGUGGAAAGAUGGAACUGGGCACAAGCAAGCAAGUAAGUGAACAUGUGUGCAUUGAUUUCUCUAUGUUCUUAACUGUGGGCAAUGUGACCAGUGGGUUGAAGUCCCUAACUUUACUUAUCUGCAAUGAGGGACUGUAAACCUGAAUUUUGUUAAGCCAAAUAUACCCUUUCUUCCAAGGUGCCUCUUGUCAGGUUAUUUUAUCACACCAAUAGAAAUUAAACUAGGGAAGCUCCUAUGGUUGGUUCUUUUUGGAAAUUUGGAGUGGUUUCUCUAAUCCAACCUCCUCUGAAGAGUAAGUCAUCUUUAUUCUAUUCCUGUGAACAUGGGGUUGCCUAAAAGGCCGGGAAACACCUUACAGCCCAUUGAGAAACUGUACAGCUCUGACACAAGAAUGCUCUUCCUUCUGGUACAAUCAAUAUCUGUGGGUCCUUAACUCCCAUCUAUUUAUCUUAGGUGUUUCCUUACAGAUGGACAGAAGGCUUGGUACCUCUAGGGAGCCCUUAGAAUCCUAUGGUGUUUCUUUAUACCUCCCAGAGUCUCUUCUAACUGGCCCUCCCAGAACCUUUCUGCUUGAUCCUCAUGGAAGUGAUGCUUUCCUUAGGGCAGGUUCAGUUUGCUAAGGCCCUUAUGAAAUGGGAUGGGGUGGGGGUGGUCUCUCCUCUUGUCAAGUAUUGGGUUUCAGUCACACUUUCAUGGAACAGAGUUGACUUUCACAUUGUGCUAUACUGUUCUUUCUUGAUAUUCUUAACCAAGUUAUCUCUUGAAGCAAGACCUGGAUGUAUAAUUAUUGUUAUUCAUUGAUUCAAGGAUAAGUGAGAUUAUUGCAAAACUAUAAUGCAUAUUGGGUAUUGUGGUAUGUGCCUGAAAUUACAGCACCUGAAAGGCUGAGGCAGGAGAGUGUCUAGCUUUGAGGCUAGCCUGUGUUCUGUAGCAAGACCCUGCUCCUGUGUCCAAAAAAAAAAAAAUCCAGCUAUUUAACCACCCCUUCCCAAAGAAGUUUUGGUUGGGGCAGAACUCACAUGUGUGGCCCUAAUGGAAACUAGUUGUCUCAUUUCUCAUUCUAGAAAGAAGAACUUUUGGAAGAGGACAGAAGAGAGUUUCUGUCAUCUGGAAUAGGAACUCCUGUGUGAAGCUGGGAACUCCUGGGUUGCUGUUGUUAGUGUGAAGUCGGUGAACUGAAGAACUGCCUGGUGGACCUAAAGAAUUCAGAUGCAGUGUGACCAGCUGCCUCACCGUUCACAGCCAUGCCUUCUCCACCACGACACACAGUGCCCUAGUGAACUGGUGACCUCGUGGAAUCCGCAGGAAUCAAUGCAAAAAGCCAUUUGAUUCCAUCAACAGAGGUUGAAGAGCUUGCAUAGCUCCUGAGCCAUGAUUAGAACAACACCUCACAAAGCCCCAGCAACAUAUGAAGCCAAGCAGUGCUGCUCUUGUGGUUCAACAGAGAGUCCUCGAAGAGACUCUGCACACCUUCUCCCAGGAGGGCAGCCAGGGACACUUCAGUAUGCACACAUGGACAGGAUGACCUGGUCUUGGAGUUGGCCUUCUUGUGAAACUUGUCUUCAUUUGGGGGUUCCCUAAAGAGAAAUACAGAAGAGCAAUGCAAAAGUAUUGAUUGAAAAAAAAAUGUCAAGAGGCACAUUUUCAGGUGGUGCUGUCUACAUGCUGAGUUUUACAGCCUGAAUGGCAUUUCCAUCAUGGGAUCAGUUGUUUUAAGGUCUGGGGCCUACUAAGGUCUGAGAACCUGUUACAGUCAGCAGCAGCACUUGGAAGAUUGGACCCGACAAGACACUACUCUCAGAAAAGCCGUGUCAGCAUCUGAGUGUUUUCAUUUUCCCACAGGAGCAAGGGAUAAGAGGAGGGAGGAAGGCAGAGAAAUCCAACUGAAUGGGUGGGGCAGAGAGAAUUCCCAGAGUCAGGCCAAGCUUCAUCCUGGUUCAGCUCUCCCAUUGCUUUCACAACUAAAGAACCAGAGCAAAGCCUAGCACCUCUCUCUCUAGGCAGUGCUGAGCUCCAGUGGGAUGCUGUUACUAUUGUUACAGUCACUGAAUGCUGUUACUAUUGUUACAGUUACUGUGCAACUGCUAAGAUUGUGGUUGAUGCACAUCUAACAGGAUCCCUUUAGCUUCCCCCAGCUGAAGCAGCAUCUCAGUUGAUGCUCCUCACUGAACUCUCGCCAUGGCUUGUUUUGUUGGGCCCAAGAUGCAUUUUUGUUUUAAAUAUUUUUUUCAUGAAAAAUUCAGCUUGUAGUCUAAUAUGAUUGAAGCUCAGCCUGAGUUUGUUUUAUAAUGCAUUGAACUGGAAAGUCUAUGAGUGGUGAAUUAUUCAAGAUACGUGGACAAACGAGGGAUCUGGGCUCUCAUGUGAGGAGGGGUGAUCAAAGAAAUAAGCAAAAUUCUGUGUGUCUUGUUAUCUCAUUUUAUUUACCUUUUAAAAACUUCAACCUUCACCUUGGUCAGGUUCUUCACUUCAUUUAUUAAUGAAUGUCCAAUUUGAUCACAGUCCUUUGUACCACAAGGCUCCCAGCAAUAUUUCUGAGCCUUUAUUAUAAAUGUAAUAUGUCACUGGAUUUUUCAAAUAUGAUUCUCCAAUGUUAAUUUGACUAAUUUAUUAAUGAGAGGAUUUUGAUGAUAAUUUAGUGUGCUUGCAUGUAAGAUUGAACUAUAAAUUAUUCUCACUGAAGGUGAUGAUCAGUGGCUGCCCUGAGACUUGGCAGGCACGGUUGGAAUUAACCCUGCAAUCUUGUGCUUCUUGCAAGAACCACGACUUCACACAGCUGCAAACUGGUGUCUGCUCACAGAAACUUUCCAAUCAAAUUCCCCCUCAGCAAGGGCCCUACUUCUGGUGUUCAUAGUAUGUGAAUGUCAUUUGUAUUAAUAUUUCCCCGAAACCUCUUACCAUUUUGUUGUCCAUGUGACACUGUAGAUUCCAAGUUUUUAAGUAUAAAUUGAAACAACAAUCAGACACUGACAUUGGUGGUCAAAAUCACUGCAAGAGACAGAAUAUCUUGCAGAAAGUUUCUAUGAGGAGAAGAGCGUGACUGUAUUUCCAAAUGUUCCUAUGAACAAAGGAGCCUGAGUAUAUUUGUACUAAAAGAAGGAUACGGUCUGGGAGAGAAGGACUGUGCUUGGCGGAGAAGUGAGAGAUGCUCUGCUUUGAGGACAGAAAGUCACAAACAAUAUUUCCAACUGCCACUGGUCUUGUGUCCUUUGUACACAAACAGUGGAACUGGUUGGUUGUUCAAGAGGACAGCGAGACACUGGGGAUCAUUUGAAUGCUUUUGCAGGUCCCAGAGGAUGGAGUGGGAAUAAGAGGAAAGCAGAGGUCAGCCCAAGGAAAAGAAGUCUCUGUCUGUGAGCGGGGGCUGCUUCCCAGAAAAGACAACACCCAGUGACCUACUUAGCAAAUGGAAACACAAACCAGAGAAAUCAGCCAAGGUCAUGGAUACACAGCCUCUCCUGACCAGCUAACUCCAGGUGUUCAGAGCAAGAACAAAAUGUGCUGACAUGAGGGAGUUCCCUUAAACUUCCCUGGGCAACAAAUCACAGACUGUUGAAUUUCUUGCUUUUCUAAGACUUUGUUAAAUAAAUGGCAGCAGCAAGCUGAGGUCCAGUCUAUAUGUGCUUUCCUGGUUUGGAUGAAGGCAACAUCUAAGAACAGCUCUUCCCCGACCUUUAAAACAAAAUUUUCCCGAAGUUAAAAGAGAGAAAUACAUUCUUCCUGCUGGAUAUCACAUUUAAAGGUUAUGUAACUCAUCUACCCAGAAUUGAAGCUGUGGGGAGGGGUCACACUUAGUAGUGGGUCCCAAGAUAGCCCUGAGGUCUAAAUAGGAAAAUAUCCUGUAUAAACUGUAGCAAAACUCUCAUCUCAAAAUAAAACACUCUGGGAUUUACAGUUACGUCCAUAUUCAACAGCUUUAGGACAUCCAGCAACUGACAGGAGUUUUAGAAAUGACAAAGAAAAUCUCUUCACAUUUAAAAAAACGGAACUCAAACCAGGAGAAGGAACCUGAACCCUGGUGAUGCAGAAGCCUGCUUCCAUUCCUCACCAUCUGGUCCCCACUGCCGAAGAUCCUCACACCCAGCAAACGCCGGGCACGACUCUCUUUUCAUUGUUUGCUUUCCAGAACUAUCAUUGGAACCAAGAAGGUUCCAAUCGUAGUAGACUUAGCUGUCACCAGAAUGGAGUUCUGGGUUCUAACUCCAUAGCAGGCUCUAGGUAGGAUUGGGAUGGCGGGAAGGGAGGAAGGGACAUUUAGUAUCCACUCAUCCUACUCAUAGUCGGACCAUUUUGAACCAGUUUCUAGAACUCUCUAACUAUUAUCUUAACUGACUGAUUACUAAAAGCUACUGCUCUAUAUGAGAUGGCCAGCUUCGUUUUUCUCCCGUCUUCAUUUUUCUCCCAGCUUCGUUUUUCUCCCUUCUAGAACAACAGGAAUCACACCACAGCCAGAGAAUGCUUUCAGAAAUGCACACUCUUAAUAGCUAAGCUGGGGACUUUUUGAGGUCAGGGAACAAGAACAAUGGCAGCCUGGCUGGCACAGGAUGAUGUGUCUCUUUUGCUAAAGCUCAGCUGGUAAUCAAAAUGGAGAUUAAUUUCUUGUACCCAUUUUUGCCCUCAGCUUCCUGAUAUAAUUUAAUAAGAAAUUGUUAAUGAGUAGAUAGAUGUGCACCCUGGUGAUUUAAAGUAGAAAUGACAGUUCUUUAUAUAAAAGUUUAGGUUUGUGAUUCUUUUAAGAUUUUUAUAGGAUUACCUUUUAAGAUAAAUAAUAACAGAGUUGGCCAUUUCUAUGUAACUGCAAAUUGCAGCCUGCCAGUAAGAGAAACUGGCUGAUAAACUUACUCUGCUUGCUUACACUUUGUUAAUUUAUAACAAGUUGCUGCGUUACAAAUGUAUGUGGGUUCUUGGGAGUGAUUUGUUUUUUCUUUACCUCUGAUAUGUAAAGUGUUUUUCAUGUAAAGGAAUUGGGGAACAAACUUUUUUUAAAAAAAGUAAUCAUUCACUGUCAGAAAAAUAGAAUGUAGUCACAUUGUAAUUUUUAUACUGCUUGAAAGAUUUUGCUGGGAUAUAUAAGCUGUGGGAGGAAAAAAUAAAGUUAUUGGAGCUUGUUGAAGCUUGGUUCAUCUACCUAGUGUGUGUGUGUGUGAGAGAGAGAGAGAGAGAGAGAGAGAGAGAGAGAGAGAGAGAGAGAGAUUCCUUCUCCCCCUUUUUGCAAGGAACCUUUCACUGCCCCCCCUCCUCCCAGGAGUAUUUUGCCAGCCCAGUGAAUCAAGUUUUUUCCCGUCAGAGAAAAGCCUUCUGAGUGAUCAAUUGCUGAUGCUACACCCUGCCUCAGUUUACCCUGGACAUUGAAGCUGGUCUUUGACAUACAUCCUCUUGAUCCAAAGUAAAAUUUGCCUGUCCAGACACUCCAGUUGGAUUAAUAAUAUCUUCCUUUUUAAACCCAAACUUACUUCUAACAAUUUGGGGGAUCAGUUGGACACCUAUCUCUCCUAACGGAAUAACUCAGAACUCCUACCAGAGGAGAUGCUUGCCACCAACUCUUUUUCAGGGAUCCUAGGGUGUUGGGUCUCUGGCAUUUUCCAGAUCAGCCAAAGAAGAAUUCAAGUCUGAAAAAGUCUGGACAACACAGGGAACAGAGGUCCAAGGAAAUAACCAUGGAGACCAGGAAUACUCUGUGCACCCCAAAGAUCAGUUGUACCUCACCCAAUCAUCAUCAGAGAAGCUUCUUGCAGUAUAUGAAAGUUAACACAGAGACCCAUAACUGGACAACAUGCAAGUGAGUGAGAGACGUUGAAAUACUCAGUCCUAAAUGAGAUGACUUCAUCAAACCCCUCCACUCAGGGAUCAGGACGCUAUGCAGAAGAGGAGGCAGGAAGACUGCAAGAGUCAGAGGGAAUGGAUGACACCAAGGAAAUAGUGACUUCCCCCAUUAUUUAAUGGCUCUACUUGGAAUUAUUCCAUUUAUGUAUAUAUUUUAAGAUGCUUCUACAGUAGUAGGUUUCC